AACGAACGCUGGCGGCAGGCCUAACACAUGCAGGUCGAGCGGACCUUUCGGGGUCAGCGGCGGACGGGUGAGUAACGCGUGGGAAUAUGCCCUUCUCUACGGAAUAGUCCUGGGAAACUGGGGGUAAUACCGUAUACGCCCUUUGGGGGAAAGAUUUAUCGGGGAAGGAUUAGCCCGCGUUGGAUUAGGUAGUUGGUGGGGUAAUGGCCUACCAAGCCGACGAUCCAUAGCUGGUUUGAGAGGAUGAUCAGCCACACUGGGACUGAGACACGGCCCAGACUCCUACGGGAGGCAGCAGUGGGGAAUCUUAGACAAUGGGGGCAACCCUGAUCUAGCCAUGCCGCGUGAGUGAUGAAGGCCUUAGGGUUGUAAAGCUCUUUCAGCUGGGAAGAUAAUGACGGUACCAGCAGAAGAAGCCCCGGCUAACUCCGUG
rnacentral:rRNA from 1 species